GACGAACGCUGGCGGCAGGCCUAACACAUGCAAGUCGAACGAGUGGCGGACGGGUGAGUAAUGUCUGGGACACUGCCCGAUGGAGGGGGAUAACUACUGGAAACGGUAGCUAAUACCGCCUACCAUCGGAUGUGCCCAGAUGGGAUUAGCUAGUAGGUUGGGUAACGGCUCACCUAGGCGACGAUCCCUAGCUGGUCUGAGAGGAUGACCAGCCACACUGCAACUGUGACACGUUCCAGACUCCUACGGGAGGCAGAAGUGGGGAAUAGUGCACAAUGGGCGCAAGCCUGAUGCAGCCAUGCCGCGUGUAUGAAGAAGGCCUUCGGGUUGUAAAGUACUUUCAGCGAGAAGGCGUUACUCGCAGAAGAAGCACCGGCUAACUCCGUGCCAGCCGCCGCGGUAAGUC
rnacentral:rRNA from 1 species